rnacentral:rRNA from 1 species
UACAGAGGUCUCAAGCGUUGUUCGGAUUCAUUGGGCGUAAAGGGUGCGUAGGUGGCGCCGUAAGUCAGGUGUGAAAUUUCGGAGCUUAACUCCGAAACUGCAUUUGAUACUGCGGUGCUUGAGGACUGGAGAGGAGACUGGAAUUUACGGUGUAGCGGUGAAAUGCGUAGAUAUCGUAAGGAAGACCAGUGGCGAAGGCGGGUCUCUGGACAGUUCCUGACGCUGAGGCACGAAGGUCAGGGGAGCAAACAGG